GUUCUCAUGAAGAGUACUGAGCCCUCUCCUCCCCACACCAUGUUGGAAACCCAGGGACCCAGAGUGACUGUAAAAUUAUCGGGACCAGCUUCUGUGCCACUCAGGGACGGCUCGUGGGACCCUCCUCUGCUUUGCUUUACCUUCAGCUUGUAGUGUCCACAGAAGUACAUUCCCAGCUCCUGACACUGCGACAGGUCUCCUCUCUUCCUCGUGGGUCAAGCAGAGUGUUUGCUAACAGAUGAGAGCUCCUUAAAAGACCUGGAUGGGCUGUUCUCCAAGACACCCGUCCAAGUAAAAAGAGACAAACACCCACAGCCCACACAAACCUGUUUCCCCGUGAGUUAGAAGCUAUUAAGUACUAAUAACUCCUUUCCUACAAAAAAGCAUCCUGAACCCAAAGGGAAGACGGCUUGUUUAUUUGCUGAACAAGACUGGUGGCAGCAGAGCCUCAGAAGGUUUUGGCCCUGCAGCUAGAGAAGCUUACUCAGAGUUUUGGCAGUCUCUGACUGCCUCUUGCCUUGAUGCCAUAAUAGAAAAUGACCAGCAAGGCUCUUUUCCACUGUGUUCUAAAGGCCCAUCAUGGGCAGUCCUGGGUAGGUCCAGAAAAAUAUUUAUAUAGUUCUAUUACAGGCUGAAUCUACCUAAAAUUGACAUGUAGACGUCCUAACCCCCCAUGCCUCAGAAUGUGACUGUAUUUGGAGACAGGGUCUUUAAAGAAGUAAUUAAGUUGAACUGAGGUCAUUAGAGUGAGCCCAAAUCCAAUAUGACUGCUGUCCUUAUAAGAAGAAGAGGCGAUUAGGACAGAGACAACACAAGAGGAAAGACAAGAUGAAGAUACAGAGAGAGAUGGCCAUCUCUAUAAAGCAAGGAGAGAGGCCUCAGGAAGAAAUGACUGCUUCAUCUGACACCUAAUCUCAGACUUGACUCCAGAAUUGUGAGAAAUGACAUUUCUGUUGUUUGAACCACCCAGUCCAUGGUAUCUUGUUAUAGCAGCCCUAGCAAACUAACACAUAUGCUUUACGAUUUAUAAAGCUGUUUUCUCAUACCUGAGCUCACUUAAUUUUCACAACAAUCCCACUGAGUGGAGAGUAUUAUCCUCAUUUUAUUGAUGAAACACUGAGCCUAAGAAGCUAUUAGCCUAAAGUCAUACUGCUCAAGAGUAACAGAGCCUUGGCCUGAAUCCAGAGUUUCUGAUUCCAGACCCCAUGUUCUUUCCAAUAGACUUGCUUUGUUCUCAGAGUGCUUGGUGCCGUUGUUGUCAUUUGUUUUUCUGACCAUCAGCCAUUUAGAGACAGGUUACAAUUGGCCCCUUAAUCUGGAGAGUGGCUGAGCAAUUCUCUCCAGUUUACACAAUAAGCUGGUGGCAGGAAUGGUAUUAAAGCAGCUCCUGAAAUUCUGGGUCAUUGUUAAGUGAUGAUUUCUUAUUUCUCCUGUUCACUCAGCCAAACUCAAAGAGUCAGGAGCUUUGGGGUGGGUGGUUUUGUUCCCAGA